GACUUGCUCCUGAANUACGGCGGANGGGUGAGUACACGUGGGCACCUGCCUAUAAGACUGGGAUAACUUCGGGAAACCGGAGCUAAUACCGGAUACGUUCUUUUCUCGCAUGAGAGAAGAUGGAAAGACGGUUUACGCUGUCACUUAUAGAUGGGCCCGCGGCGCAUUAGCUAGUUGGUGAGGUAAUGGCUCACCAAGGCGACGAUGCGUAGCCGACCUGAGAGGGUGAUCGGCCACACUGGGAACUGAGACACGGCCCAGACUCCUACGGGAGGCAGCAGUAGGGAAUCUUCCGCAAUGGACGAAAGUCUGACGGAGCAACGCCGCGUGAACGAAGAAGGCCUUCGGGUCGUAAAGUUCUGUUGUUAGGGAAGAACAAGUACCAGAGUAACUGCUGGUACCUUGACGGUACCUAACCAGAAAGCCACGG
rnacentral:rRNA from 2 species